CCUACGGGGGGCAGCAGUGAGGAAUAUUGGUCAAUGGGCGGAAGCCUGAACCAGCCAAGUCGCGUGAGGGAAUAAGGCCCUACGGGUCGUAAACCUCUCUUGCCGGGGAGCAAGGGCCGGGACGCGUCCCGGCCCGGAGAGUACCCGGAGAAAAAGCAUCGGCUAACUCCGUGCCAGCAGCCGCGGUAAUACGGAGGAUGCGAGCGUUAUCCGGAUUUAUUGGGUUUAAAGGGUGCGUAGGCGGGCUUUUAAAUCAGCGGUAAAAAUUAGGGGCUCAACCCCGUCCGGCCGUUGAAACUGGGGGC
rnacentral:rRNA from 1 species